AAUAGAUACCCAGGUAGUCCACGCCGUAAACGAUGGAUGCUAGCUGUUAUGCGUAUCGACCCGUGUAGUAGCGAAGCUAACGCGUUAAGCAUCCCGCCUGGGGAGUACGAACGCAAGUUUAAAACUCAAAGGAAUUGACGGGGACCCGCACAAGCGGUGGAGCGUGUUCUUUAAUUCGAGGCUAAGCGAAGAACCUUACCAGGGCUUGACAUCCUUGGAAUUUCUCCGAAAGGAGAGAGUACUUUAUUGGACCAAGUGACAGGUGCUGCAUGGCCGUCGUCGGCUCGUGUCGUGAGAUGUUUGGUUAAGUCCAUUAACGAGCGCAACCCUUAUGAAUAGUUGUAUUUUUCUAUUCAGACUGCCCCGGUAACGGGGAGGAAGGGGGGGUAUGAUGUCAGGUCAGUAUUGCCCUUACGCCCUGGGCUAGAAACGCGCUACAAUGGCCGGUACAAUGCGCUGCCAACCCGCGAGGGGGAGCAAAUCGCAUCAAAGCCGGUCCCAGUUCGGAUAAGAGGCUGAAACUCGCCUCUUUGAAGCCGGAAUCGCUAGUAAUCGU
rnacentral:rRNA from 1 species